rnacentral:rRNA from 1 species
UGGGGAAUAUUGCACAAUGGGCGCAAGCCUGAUGCAGCCACGCCGCGUGUGUGAAGAAGGCCUUCGGGUUGUAAAGCACUUUCAGCGAGGAGGAAGGGUUCAGUGUUAAUAGCACUGUUCAUUGACGUUACUCGCAGAAGAAGCACCGGCUAACUCCGUGCCAGCAGCCGCGGUAAUACGGAGGGUGCAAGCGUUAAUCGGAAUUACUGGGCGUAAAGCGCACGCAGGCGGUUUGUUAAGUCAGAUGUGAAAUCCCCGCGCUUAACGUGGGAACUGCA